rnacentral:rRNA from 1 species
GAUGAACGCUGGCGGCGUGCCUAAUACAUGCAAGUCGAGCGAACGGACGAGAAGCUUGCUUCUCUGAUGUUAGCGGCGGACGGGUGAGUAACACGUGGAUAACCUACCUAUAAGACUGGGAUAACUUCGGGAAACCGGAGCUAAUACCGGAUAAUAUUUUGAACCGCAUGGUUCAAAAGUGAAAGACGGUCUUGCUGUCACUUAUAGAUGGAUCCGCGCUGCAUUAGCUAGUUGGUAAGGUAACGGCUUACCAAGGCAACGAUGCAUAGCCGACCUGAGAGGGUGAUCGGCCACACUGGAACUGAGACACGGUCCAGACUCCUACGGGAGGCAGCAGUAGGGAAUCUUCCGCAAUGGGCGAAAGCUUGACGGAGCAACGCCGCGUGAGUGAUGAAGGUCUUCGGAUCGUAAAACUCUGUUAUUAGGGAAGAACAAAUGUGUAAGUAACUAUGCACGUCUUGACGGUACCUAAUCAGAAAGCCACGGCUAACUACGUG